CCCUUAGAUGUCCGGGGCUGCACGCGCGCUACACUGAAGGAAUCAGCGUGCUAAAACCAUUGUCGAAAGGCAUUGGUAAACCCAUUAAAAUCCUACGUGAUUGGGAUCGGGAAUUGCAAUUAUUUCCCUUGAACGAGGAAUUCCCAGUAAGUGUGGGUCAUAAGCUCGCGUUGAUUACGUCCCUGCCCUUUGUACACAUCGCCCGUCGCUGCCCGGGACUGAGCCGUUUCGAGAAAAGCGGGGACUGCUGCUGUCGGGGCUUUCGGGCCUUGGCUUCGGUGGAAACCGCUUUAAUCGCAGUGGCUUGAACCGGGCAAAAGUCGUAACA
rnacentral:rRNA from 1 species